GGCUUGAUUGUAUGUGUAAAUUAAUUCUUACACACUACAAAUUAAGCC
rnacentral:ncRNA from 1 species